rnacentral:rRNA from 1 species
UACGUAGGGUGCGAGCGUUGUCCGGAUUUAUUGGGCGUAAAGAGCUCGUAGGCGGUUUGUCGCGUCGGCCGUGAAAUCUCCACGCUUAACGUGGAGCGUGCGGUCGAUACGGGCAGACUUGAGUUCGGUAGGGGAGACUGGAAUUCCUGGUGUAGCGGUGAAAUGCGCAGAUAUCUGGAGGAACACCGGUGGCGAAGGCGGCAUCCUGGACCAACACUGACGCUGAGUGAGCGAAAGCCAGGGGAGCAAACGGG